AACGAACGCUGGCGGCAGGCUUAACACAUGCAAGUCGAGCGCCCCCCAAGGGGAGCGGCAGACGGGUGAGUAACGCGUGGGAAUCUACCCAUCCCUACGGAACAACUCCGGGAAACUGGAGCUAAUACCGUAUACGCCCUUCGGGGGAAAGAUUUAUCGGGGAUGGAUGAGCCCGCGUUGGAUUAGCUAGUUGGUGGGGU
rnacentral:rRNA from 1 species